AUUCAUGCGUCACCGACGACCUAUCCGGAUACGUACACCCCUUGGUUGGUGGCCAAACCAACCUAGUGUCUAGAAUACACAGUGCUGUGACUAAAUCAUGCUGAUAUGCUCAAAACGAAAACCGGCAAAAAGAGACCGGUGCCAUGGCCGAAGCUAGGUGCAAGGGCGUACAACGCCGAACCACGAUCAACCAGAUCGAAACACACGACAAAGGAGUCGAUGUGUUGCCUGGAUCCAAGGUCCACAGAGAUACAAUAUAUAUGCAACCUGCUCUACAUGUCUAUCCACAACUAUCCAAAUGCAAUCAAUGAGAUAUGAUAAACAAACAAUAAAUAAUCAACUGACAUGUAGAGACUACGAUACUGAUAUGAAAGAACAGAGGAAGAGUGAAACGAUCUCACCGACUACCAGCUCGAAGUACCCACCUGUCACUGUCGCGUCGGAACACUGGGUAGGCACAAAGUCUACCGGACCUAAGAAGAUCCACCAGGUCAGUAUCCAAACCACUAACCUAAAGCACGAGACUCACAAACCCCCCACACAAGAUCCCCGUAAUCGGUUUCCCAAAAUCGAUCACCAUAUCUGUAACACACUGGACCUUUACAAAUUGCGAGGUUCGAGUGUUUGGACAGUGUCCUGAGCUUUUCCAGACUUUCUGGUGGGUCGUUGACAGUGUUUCGAUCUAUGGCUCGUAUUCCGAGAAUCGUGGUUUAAAAUUGUGUACCGAAACCCGAAAAAUCGGAUUCUUGGCCAGCUCUCGGGUAGUUUUCUGGGGUCUUGUACCGGUAAAAGGUUGGUGGUUGUACCGGUAUAAGGUUGAUGGUUGUACCGGUACAGCCACCGGGCUUGUACCGGUACAGAGCCGAUGAACCCCGCCAAUCCGAGCCUCGGGUUAUGAUUUUCGUGGGGCUUGUACCGGUACAAGGGCCCGUGUACCGGUACAAGGGGACAUUUUUCGCACAGUCUGGUCUGCAGGGGUGUUUUUGCUUUUGUAUCUCUUCUAUUUGAACCCCCACGCCCCCUAGGCCUCCUCCUGAGCUUGGAACAGCAAGAGAGAAGGUAGGAGAGCCCUCCUCUUCAUCUUCUUCAUUUCCUUGAUUUUGGUUUGGGUUUUUGGUGAUUAAACCCCCUCUUUUGCUCUCUUUUGCUUCUUAGGAGGCUUCUUCACCGUUGGAGCUUGGAUUUGAGGCUUGGUGAGGGUUGAUCCUUGAAGUUUGAGAAUUUUGGGCUUGGAUUGAAGCUUCUAAGAGGUAAGUGACAAGAUCCUUUCCUCUAGUUUUGGAUUUUAAAGCUUUCUUUGAGAUGAAACCCUAUAUUGGAAACUUAGGGUUGUUUUUGGGCAUUUUGAUUCUAGGGCUUUUGAGGCUAGAUUGGUUGGAUUAGAACCUUCCUCUAGGCUAGAUUGGAAGGGUUCUAGCUCUCUUUUGGAGCUUUAGAAAAGAUUUCUCUCUUGAGGUGAGUUUUGACCCUUUUUGCUUAUGGUUAAUGAUUGAGCAAUUUGCUCUUCGUUUCGUUUGGGUGACCCUAUUUUUGAUGUUUCUAGGGUACUAGGAAGCUAGUGGAUACCUCCGUUCGGCGAAACGAAGGUUUCGAUUUUGGUGGGUUUGACCUGGCCUAUAAUAUGAGAAAUUCUCAUAUAUAGUGAUAUAUGUUUCGUAAAUUGAAAAAGCAUACAUAUUCAUACUAAAUGUAUUUAUUAUGAUUUUUGGAAUGCUUAAAAUGUCUAUGUUACAUGUAAUGAAAUUUUGGAUCUCUAUGUAGUAGAGAAUAGCGUAUGAAGCUUAUGCGGGAUUUUUGGCAUUCUCAUGUUGGAUCAUGUUCCUUAUAGUGUAAAUGAGCUUUGAUUCAUGCAUUUAAACCUAAGUUUAAUUGAGAUAUGAAAGAUAACAAAAUUGCCAUAUAGGGGCACCGGACUAGAACAUUAUGUGAAUUAGAAAGCUAAUGUCAUCAAGCGGCAUUGAGCUCGGGACAUGUGUGAACCUAGUGGAUAGGGCUAUUGAGGAAUGUGGAACAUGCUUAAAUAUUGAAUGUCUAAGUGUCAUAAAGGGGCACUAGACCUAGAGAAAAUUGGAACUUCACUUCGUGAUUUAGGACUAGAUCUUCGAGAUGCUAGUGACUAUACCAUAUUAGAGACAUGAUGAUUGGAUACUUGAGACGUUUACUAUGCUUGUUUGCCAUUUGUGCUCAUUCGCACAUGCUUUGAGGGUCGCUUUCUACAAGCCAGCACUCCGGAGUUAGCCUACGGGAUUUAUGUUUGCUCGUGCGGUAUUGAGAAGCCUACGGCGUCGAGUGGGACAGACACAUUCCAAGAGUAGGGAUGUUGGGCUACCACAGGCACUUAGGCGACAUAAGCUGGACUACCUUGGGUAGGUCCUUAAUGGGAAAUGAAAAUCGACACAGUGUAGCAUAAGUAAAAAAAAAUCACUACUAAAUAGAUUAUAGUAGUUGGGUUUCUUAGACAUGCUUAUAGCAUAGGUUUGGACUUAUAGUAUACUUGAUUAUAGCGCUCUUUGCACUUUGGUAUACUUGCUUGCCAUGUGAGAUCACACUAGUUUUGUGUUGGACAUAUUUGAGCAUGAUAGAGGCUGUGUACUACGCAUUGCCAUCAUAUUACUUAUAGCAUAGUAGUUUAUUCUAACAUUCAAUACAUGCUUUCAUAUCUGCAGUUUAAUUCCAGUUGAUUAUCAUAUCUACAGUUCUCUUUUGGGCCUAGCGGCGCAAUGUGCUGAGGUCAGUAAUUGCCCACUGGGAACUAUAAAUUAUAGUUCUCACGCCCCCUGUUUCGUGUUUUCUUUUCAGAGCCUUCCACACCAGGCGAGGCUAGAGACCGCGGAAAGAGCAUCGCCUCGAGCUAGCUCUUUUGUGAGGGACGCAUCGAUAGGUGGUCUACCUCUCAUUGUUUUUACUUUGGAGAGGUUGAGAGUUGUACCCAUGUAUAAAGACCACCCCUUUUGUGUACUUUUGAGACAGAUGUUGUAUUACUUUAUGUAUCACUUUAGUGAGUAGUUCUUUUCUUCCGCUUCUGUUGUUAGUAGUAGUAGAUGCUAUACUUGCUCUGAUAUCGUUAGUUGUUGUUUAUUCUUAUCUUUCAUAUCUCUUUGUUGUAGACGCCUUAUAUGUGCAGGCAUAUGGCGGGUCUGGGCACGCACCGGACAGGGCCUUCUCGGGUCCCGGGGCGUGACAGCUCUUGUGAAAUCGGUCAUGAUUGUGUCAGUGGGCUUAAGAUUGUCCUCGUUCUUUCUCAGUUUCCUGGAGAUUACUCUGUAAAGGACACUGUUAAUACAAUAAUUGUUUAAUUUUGUCAAUCUUGCGAAUAAAAUAGGGAAAAAAUAUUUGAGCCACAAUAGUCAUAAUUAAUUUUACUAAGGACGUUGUCAUACACUUAGUAGGAUUGGGGUACGUUCUGCCGUUUGUUGGUUAACUACUUACUUACGCAAUAUGACCAAUAACCGCAGCUUUUUUAUCGCUGUAUACCAUUUUGCCAAGCUCGGUGCAAUCGUUUGUUACCCUCGUUCUGUUUUCCACGGCGUACCAUGUGGUCCUUCACCCCUCUUCUUGCGGAUUUACCUUCUCGAUCGCCAAAUCCACCCUCGCCAAUCUCUGCACCACCCUCUCAAGGCACCGGUCGUUCCAUAGUCGGAUCCGUGUUGGGCUCUUAUAUAAUGAUAUUUAUCCUUUUUUGCGCGGAUACUAUCCCCAGGAAGUGUGCUCGUUCGCUGGUGUCGUUUAAAGUUAAAGAAAGUUAUGGGUCGUAAAUGCCGAAAAAUCCUAAUCACGUGUCUAAAAGAAAAGAAAAAGGAUGAAAAUUCUCGAAUCAAUUCUCGAAUUAAUCCACAAAUAAAUUCUCGAAAAGAUCCUCAUCUAAAUAGGAACAUUGUCGAAAACAUUGACGUGAAAAAGGUAGUUAUAUUUAUCAAACCGAGAAUGUUAGCUCGAACGAAAAAGCCAAGUAAACACUUAUCAAUCGCCUUCUCGGGACAACUCGGCUAGGGAGGAAUUGGCUUAGUAAACUCAGCUAUCACCGCGUAAGCUCCCAGUAGAGUCUUCGGCUUAACGUAAGUCUUCUUCACAGACUGAACCAGUUGCGGUACUGGGCCAGUUAUAGCGGGUCGUAAGCCAAAGAUCGGGUUAUUAAAAAACCAUGCGAACCACCCUCCGCGAGUUCAUGUAGGUUUGGAGUGGGUUUACCGACUACUAUUGUAAUACUUGGAGACUUUGUCCCGGCAAAGGUAUAGGAGUCCCUUGCUGAUCUGGUCAUUACGGCUUUUACGUUUAUUUGUAGUCUGCAACGAUAGCAGCUCUCCACUUUCAUCACCAGUAAGUCGUGUGGUUUUCGGCUCGGUGUGAGUUCUUGAGCCCGUUUACUGAGUUCAAGAAGUCUGAAACCUAGUCUUGUCGGUGGUUUCAUGGCGGGAAAGAUCUACGUCUUGACCGGCGUUAGUGCUGGAGUUUAUUUGUGUAGCGAGUAUAGCCCGUUGGCAAUCGGGUCUUGCUCGUCGGUAUGCCUCCAGGUGUUCCUAGGGACUGGUACGAUCACGUUGUUUUAGGGCAACGUGGCCGCCAGCGCCUCCGCGUUGGCGUAUACCGUGGAAAGGUUCGACGGACGUCCGGCCACUUACAUUUGUAUCCGAGUGUCGGUCUUUAGUGUACCCCAAACGGAGGAGGUGGUUAGAACGGACGAAUAGUCGGGGUUUUAUUCCUAUACUCUUGAUCCCUCGCCCCGGGAUUACGUUCCGUUCCUGAGUUGGGAUGUUAUAUCUUGAUACGUGGAGGAGAUUCCGAUUUACCCUAUAGUCAGAGCUGAGGGCGGGACCGUCAUCCUUUGUUACUCAACAUACAGUCUGUCUCCUCUUCUAGACCUUGUUUAAGCCACAUCCCCGUUUCGGUCGUUACGCCGGUUACAAGUCUAGGAGCUCAGGGUGCUUAUAUCUACGUCUUGUAGGAAUAGACCGUUUGAUUUUCUACGGCUUUAAACUAUUCAAGAGCGCGCUUCUCUGGCUCUUAUGCCAUCACGUACAGUCAGCCAAGUAUCGGGUCACGUAUCUUCGCCGGUAACUGGAUAAAAACUACGAGACUAACAAAUUAUGUAGUAAUUAGUUUUGUUGCAAAUGUACCAUGUGCUCGAAUGGACGGUUAAGGUAGGCUCUAACCCUGCUUAACUUCGCAUUCAAAGUGCUCAUUAAAAUAUCUAGUCUUGAGCUCAAUAGCUACCGGCUAGAUCGAUAUAUGUCUGUUUUCGGUCCUCUUGCCAGCUCUUUAUGGAUUUGGCAAAGUUCUAUUGGUUUUUGGUCACAAAACACUCUUACGAUCUCGGUGUCAAGCGGUUCUACCGUAAGUUACCAGAUGUGAAGUUUUAUUUUCUGAUAAAACUUCUGUUCAUAAAAGGUUUAGAUAAACUAAACUCAAAAGUCCAGCAGGUUUUACUCGUUAAGACUUUCCCCUUACUUCUACUUGCCAGCACAACCUCGGCUUUGUUUCCUACCCUGUUUCCUUUUCUGUUUUAGCAGAAAGAAUAACUCUUUUUGAGCCGAGUUCUACUCGGCUUGUGGAGAUCAUCCUUAUUCUUGAGCCGACUACUUCGGCUCCACAUGCAUCGAAUCUACCAUUUCUUGGUUAUCGGCAUAUUUACACACUAGGAAUUCGGAUGGUCCUGACCACUUAGAUUUUGUAACUAGAGCCACAUGUAAAUAAGCAAACUAUAAAGAUGUCGACUAGUCUAUAAACUAGCCAAUAUAUUUCUACCCUCCUAAUUUGAGGUUCUUCUAGUUUGUAAUGGAAAGCCACUCUUCAAUUUUUUUUCUUUUAUAAUCUUUACCGUAGUAAGUACCUCGGCGUUUUAAUUACCAACGUAUAGAAAGUUCUCCGUUUAUGUUUCUCUUUAUUUACUUCCAGUCGACCAAAAACGGUUGGUCCUUUUGUUCUUACCAUACCUUAACUGUUUUUGGGAAAAGGGUGCAUCCAGUUGUACCACCCGUUAUUCCCUUUCUUCGGUGAGGUACACCUGUUCAAGAUCUUCCUACACCGACUCGUUUUAUGAAGCUAAAACGUAAUUCACAUUCCGGUUUUAUUGCGCGGUUCUAAUCCUCCGUUAAUAUGAGCUUUUUUUCCUCAUGCCUCUCACCUUCCUCAAAUACUGGAAGGGACUUCUUACCUUCGUGUACGGACUCCGGUAUCCGCAAGGCCUGUUUACAAACCUCCUCCAGGUUACCGAGGUGCCUCAUCCAUUUGAGUCCCUUCCUGGUGUCCCUGGUCGGUUAAGUCUUCCAGGACUUAUUUAUGAUGGUCUGUUCCUUCUUUCGAUCGGUUCUCCCAAUAGGCUCCGCUGGAAAGACGUACGUCGUCUCCUUGGUCUCUAUAGCCCGGUACACCAUAGUUGUGGAUACCGACUCUAGGUUCGUUCUUAAACUUCCUUACUGGCUCCCCUCUAUCUUCAGGAGCCAGUUUCUAAUCAUUUACUCAAUUCCUAGGUCGGCACCGGUUCCGGCACCCUUUCCUCUCUUUAAGACUCCCUUGUGGAGUGUUACCAUUUCUGGGGCCGUUUGCACAACCGGUUAGUCACCAAGUGUCGUUUUCGUGGCCGGUCUACCAUACCCGGCUAAAACUGCUUUUGAGUUUUUGCUGCUGUUGUUUCUAGCGUUCGGCUCUAUUCUGUAAUUACCCUUCUCCGCUUCCCUUAGUCCGGUUUAUAUACCUUUGCUGGGUGUGUCACUAACGGGAGAGACGGGUAUUUCUUACUGUUGUUCCGCCCACCGAGUUUAUGGGACGGUACCAACUUCAGGGUCUAGGUCAGCCGAUACCAUCUCGACUGGUUCUUCCAGUGAGUAUUCCUCGAACUUCUUUUCUAGUGAAGAAACCUCUGGUAGCAGUUCGCCCUCGUCACCGGUUGGUUUCUCUCUUUCCAACUUGGUCUCUCACUUGGAAGCUAGCUUCUCCGUUUCCCAAAACUACUCUUUUCCGUCUUCUAGCCCUUCUCACGUCAGUUUUCUUAAACCGACUUUAUCCGUACCACAUGCGUAACGGCUCGAGUACAGCCCGUCUCUGCCUUAUACUUCUUCUCAACCGACACCGAGUCAAGGUUAGGCUCCUGCAGUUCUGCUAGCUACGCCUCCACAAACUUUCCGGUAGUGGGGUCGUCUGGUCUAAACACUCCGGAGACUUGUGGUUUCACAACUAUCUUCCUACCAGCCAACCGGCUCACUACAAUUCCCCCCCCCCCCCCCGUAUCACUUGCACUACAGGUGCAGUAAAAAANCCCUACAAGCCGGCACUCCGGAGUUAGCCUACGCGACUUAUGUUCGCUCGUGCGGUAUUGAGAAGCCUACGGGGUCGAGUGGGACAGACACAUUCCAAGAGUAGAGAUGUUGGGCUACCACAUGCACUUAGGCGGCACAAGCUGGACUACCUUGGGAAGGUCCUUAAUUGGAAAUGCAAAUCGACAGUGUCGAGUGUGUUAUAAUCACUACUAGAUAGAGAGUAGUAGUUGGAUUACUUGGACUUGCUUCUAGCAUAGUUUUGGACAUUAGAGUAGACAUACAUAGAGAGAGUAGUAGUUGGAUUACUUGGACUUAUUUCUAGCAUAGUUUUGGACAUUUGAGUAGACAUACAUAUAUGUAGCAUGCUAGGAGAUGUUGCUUAUUGUAUUCAUAUAUACAUUAUUGCCAUGAUAAAAUAUGAUCUUCAUAACUUCAUUAAGUAAACCGUGAUAUUUACUUAUGGGCAUGUAGAGACAUAUUGGUUGUGACAAAGUAAAGGUGCAUUGUUUUUAACACCAUGUUUAAUUGCAAUAUAGNGACAAAGUAAAGGUGCAUUGUUUUUAACACCAUGUUUAAUUGCAAUAUAGUAGCUUAGCAUUUUAAUUAUGCUCUCAUAAAUGCAGUUUAUUCAUUAUUAUUGCUCUUUUUGGCUUACCCUUUUCUUUCAGGGCCUAGUGGUGCAUAGAGCUGAGGUCAGUAAUUGCCCACUGGGAACUAUAAAUUAUAGUUCUCACGCCCUCUUUUCUCGAUGUUUUUCAGAGCCUUCCACGUAGGGGGAGGCCAGGGAUCGCGGAAAGGGUAUCACCUCGGGCUAGUGUUCUUCGCCGAGGGAUCGUUCGAUAGGUGGCCCACCUCUCUUUGUUUCUUUUUGUGAGAGGUUGAGAGUUGUACCAGUGUACUAGAGACCGCCCAUUUUGUACUUUGAGACAGAUAUUGCACUACUUCAUGGUUACUUUUAUUACUUAGUUAUGUUUCUUUUACUAUUGUUAGAGAUGAUAGAAUUAUACUGCUCUGAUAUCAUUAGUUGUAGUUCUUUCCUUUUGCUAUAUUUCUUGCUUUUACUUCCGCUUCUAUUCUAGAUGCCUUAUAUGUGUAGACAUAUGGCGGGUCUGGGCGCGCUACUGGGAGGGCCUCCGCCGGUCCCGGGGCGUGACAGUAACUCACCGGAAGUCCCGAAAACCACACCGGGACGCCGUUGGGACCCACUAAGUGUCCCGAAACUCACCGACUCGUGUCACGAGUCACCUGCUGCCCCAAAACACUCCGAUUUGAAUGUUUUGGCAGUAAACACAAGAUAACACCACUACACAAUUAUCGCCGAAUAAUUGUACGAAUCCGGGUUCCGAAAGUGUCUAUUUCGACAGCGGAACCCACCGUCGCUCACCCUUCAUCACCGAACCCACAAAGUGAUGAUGGUGACCAGCCAACAAGGCUCAGCGAUAAUUUACAGGAUAACCAAACCACGUCGGAAGAAAUCCGAACCGAACCGCGUCUUUUCGGCGAAUUUCGCCGAAAAAAGCGCCGGAAUCGACUUUUCGAUUUCCGCAAAAGCUAUCAGAUCAUGGACAAUCAGUCCAAAGGUCACCACACACACCAACGCACUGCCCACAGUAGCCACAAGGUGUACAAAUGCAUAAAAGUCCCUAUGUUUACAUAAAAUCCAUCAUUUUAUGUAAAUCGGGCGACUUCUAUGGCUCGUUCUCACAAACCGAGGACUUCUAAGUUUCGCCGUGACACGUAUUGACAGGUCUCGACGUGCCGGAGGCCAUGCUCAUAGUCUGGAGCACAACAGCUCACUGUGGGAAGCGCGGGAGCAACCCGAAAAUUCUGCGAACAGCGCGCAGUCGAGGAAAAACGCACCAAACAGAACGAUACGACAUCCGCUGAUCCAAAAUAAGGUGAGCACUGUGAUCAGCACUGAUCCACGAUCACCGUGCUCACCUCCAGAGGCAUCGGAACGGCCUUGGGUCGCCGUAAAAAUGCACAUAAUCCUAAAACAGCAGCCAAAAAGGCUCUAACGGAGCGACACCGCCGAAACAGCGGAGAGGAGUCUCCCCGACAGAAACUAAGGUGAGCACGAUGAUCAGCAAUUUGCCACUAUCACCGUGCUCCCUUUCGUAGAGAUCAGGGAGGCUCGGGAAGCUCGGAACAGCAAACCGCCAAGGAAUAGCCCUAUUUCGAGCUUGGCCGGAGCAAGCUUGCCCCGGGCGGCUUCCGGCAGCACAGCGUGGUGCGUGCGGGCCAGGAAUGGGUGCGAGGGAGGUAGGGAGUAUGGUGCUCACCUCAGUUGGCGGCGAGGAGCGGCGGCGGCGACGGCAGAACCAACCAAGCCCGCACAAGAUCCGGCUCGGGUUCCAAGGGCAGCUGCGGCCACGGCGGCGACCGGAACACUCAGGGACGGCGGCAGAGGGUUGCAGGAGGCCGGAGGAAAGUCGAGGAGGUAGCUUCGGGCAGCGGUGGCGCGAGGGGAAGGCCGCACGAUCAAUUUGGCCUGGGCUCGGCCAAGCCGGGCGCAGGAUGCAGUAGCGGCAGCAGCGACACGCAGAGGCGACGGCGGUCGGCGGGGAGGCUCGCCAGGGCACAGGGGCGACGCCGGAAGGGUAUAGGGAGGCGACUGCAGCCUCAGAUCUGUCCGCAACCCGAGAGAAAGAAAGAUGGAGGGAGAGGGAUGGAGAGGGAAGAAAAAAAGGUGGCUGAGGAGGCUGCGGUUGCUGCUUGCCGGCCGGGGCUCGGUCGGCGGCGACCGGGAGGCGUGUGGCUAGGGCAGGGAAGAGGGAUGAAGGUGGCUGGGGGUUAGCUCGAGCUAGGGUUAGGGUUCCAAGGUAGAAAACCCUAGAAUACAUAUAUAUAUCAAGGUGCAACUUUGCGAGUUAGCCCCCCAAACCUCAGUAUUUAGUACUGAGUCCUUCUCAGCGCGUGUAAAAUGCGCGAACACACUUCCACGUCCGGUUUCACGCAAAACGAUACAUAAAAUAUCGCAAAUUUUGCAAAAAUACCGUUUUGCCAUCACCGACUUCUCCUCGAACAACACGCAAUCUCCGCAGAUCCGCCCGUCAGAUUUGCAAACGGAUCACACCAGUGCGAUCAGCACAAAAGAGACAACAAAGCUAUGAUUUCUUUUCGCCUCGAUCCGUCACGGAUUCACGACGAAAUCCGAUCCAUCUCUCCAACAGAAGAACUACGCACAAAUACAAAUAAAACACAUAUUUUCGAAUUUUCUCGAAAUCCGUGCGUCAAACUCAAAAUCCGUUAGCGCCAUCAGUUCCAGAACAGCUAAACCGGUCGAAACGAGCUAUUGGACUGCUAUGAAUAGAGUCCGAUACGAGCCAGAAGCCAACUCUACGCAUUGAGCUCCCCGGAAAACUAAGUUACUAUUCACUUUAAGUGAAACUUGAAAAUCGCGUAGAAUCUCCAUUCUAACUCGUUUUCUUAUGAAACUUGACGAGUGCUUUUGUAAUUAAAUUACACACAAAAACAUCAUCGACUGAGAGUUUAGCUACACUGCCAAUAUCUCGGUCCUUACAUCAUCCCCCUCUUAAAGAAAGUUUCGUCCCCGAAACUUGCUCACAGGCAGGGGUGAUCCGACACACAACGAACUAGAACAAUACAUGCAUGCAAUGCCAAGAGGAGAUGCAUUAAAAAGAAAAGCAUGCUGUUUACUACGAUAAACAAAAUUAUACCUACGACCACGUCAGCCGACUGAUCAUCUUCCUGACGUGUCAUCAUAUAGGCGCGUCCGUCAGUUGUCUGGUGUACCUCCUUCACUUGACGGGAUAACGAUGGACGUCCAGACGAAGGGUGCGCCGUACUGCCACGAUCCUACCAUGGAGCUGCUGGAGUAGACGCUGCUGCAGACUCUGAUCCUGCUCCAUUGGUGCAAUCUGCCUUAAGAUGUCCGCGUUGGCCACACUUGUAAUAACGAUUGUGGCGCUUUGGGCACUCAUAAACUCUAUGAGCCUUGCCACAGAAGACACAAGGUGGGGUGCUCUGCCUUUGAGAUGUAGCGGGGGCACUGCUCAAUCCGGACUGCGUCUUGCGAUGCUUGGGUGGUCGCCCAUUGCUCGAUUGACCACCAACAAAACUCUCCUGUGCUCGGUUCCUAUCCUCAGUCUUCUCGAAUGCAUCUUGUUCAAUUUGAGCCUCAUCCAUAUCAUUCUGCACCAUCAGUGCCCGACCCAGACUCUCGUCGAAUGUCAAAGCGCCAUGGGACGCGAUAAGAAGUCGAAUACUGGGCCUUAGCCCUCUCGCAAACAUCCUUGCCUUGUGAUACUCAUCACGAACCACGAAUGGAAUCAGUGAAAUAAUACGAGAGAAGUCUCGCUCAUACUCUGCUACGGUACGACUGCCUUGCUUGAGACGCUCUAGCUCGCGCUCCAGAUUCUACUUAGUGCUAUCCUUGAAGUACUGCUCGUACAGGAGUCUCCGAAAUUCCUCCCAGCUUGGAUAGAUGCUCCCAAGUUUGCGCUCGAAGUGGCUGAUCCACCACGAAUACGCAUCCCUCUCAAGACAGUGAGCAGCUAGAGGGACGCGAUCCAGCUCCUCAAUGUGUAGAUCACGAAACAGUUUCUCCAUAUGAGUAACCCAACGCUCGAUCACCCAAGCGUCGUCGCUCUUUCCUGCGAACUUCGGCGGAUCGAACUUUCGAAACUCCACCAGCCUUGCCCUAAUGCGGGCGGCUUCCGUUGCAGGGGUAUCAGUACCCCCAGCGGAAAUCGUCGUGGUGGCCGUCGUCAUCGUGGCAGUCACGGCUGGAGCUACGGCAANAGGCGCAUGCGUCGCGGGAGGAUCCGCGUUCACCGGAGUGUCCUGUGCCGGAGGUGGGACCGGGGUAGCAGUAGCCGUAGCCUGCUGCUGCAAGAACUGCUGAAACAAACCAGAGAGGGUCCCCAGCUGACCCCUCAAAUCAGCUACCUGGGCCUCGAGCUGCUGGGUGCGAGUACCACGCAGCGGCUCCGUGCCCAACUGCUCCCCAGCACCCCCACUCGGAGGAGCACGAGUACUGCCGGAUGUCUCUGCACCAGCACGUCCACCACCACGACCCGGACGAGGGGGUCUACCACGAGCCAUCUGCAACAGAAAACACCGUCAAGUAAACCAAUCGACUCGACAUACAAACUCAUCGGGACUCAAACCCAAUACACCGCACUCACGUGCCUAUAUGCCUUUGGUCUUCCUAUGGGUCAACCUAACCAGUGGUUCAGUUAGAAAACUUGUAAAUGCAGUUGUAAUUAUUUCACACUCUGAUACCAUAUUAAUCUGUCACGCCCCGAAGCCGAUUUUAAAAGCCUUUUUAAAAUUCAUUACCAUUUUGAAAUAGAGUUGCGGAAGACGUGCUAAUUUUUUUUUUUUUUCAACCUGGCCCACGUGACGUACAGAUCCGCCACAAAUCCAAAGUCCUCUGUCCACUCGGACAGAGUCUCCUUUGUAUUUGUACGGCGUACCAACUAUAAACACGAUCUCAACCACAACCUACAUUUACCAAUCAACAAUCAAUUCAUGAUAUGCAUUUCCAUACAGCUAACGAUCCUUAGAGAUGAUGCAUGCCUCUAAGCACUCCUUAGGCGCUGGAUGAUGCAAUGCACAAUACAACAAACAUCCUAUUUAAAAGUGCUCCCCACACGGAAGCUUUUGUUUUUAAACUCUAAUUCAUUCAUUCAUGAAAACCAUUCGAAAAUCUUUUUAAAACUGUUUCCCACACGAAAACUCUAUUUUGAAAAUCAACUACCUCGAGGGGUAGAAAACCAUGAUGCGUAAAUAUGUAUAAAUACAUAAAUCCGAGAACUGAAUAUCCAUAAAACCAAAACCAGUGAUCCACAAAAUCUCUAAUCAUGCAUAACGAAAAUCACAAACAUUCAAACAUUUAACUGAACCAUUUAUGAUUAACAACUACCAAAUGCGGGAAGAAAUAUAACUAGGGUGAUGGUCGCUACUGCCGACUUAGCUAGAUCGUCCUCCCGUCAAGCCCAAAAUCUAACUCCUCGUCCGAGUCACCUGGGGGGAAUAGGGGGUGAGAAACCGCAACCAUGGUUUCUCAGUGGGUACGACAGAGCCACGAAGUCAAGCCGUAAUCACCGAAAACCAAAGGAGAUAGAUAAACAAAUAUAUAUGCUGAUAUGAAACAGAACUACAGAUAUGAGCAUGAUGUGAUAUAAGAGCAACUACAGUAGUAAUAGAAACUGGAUAAUAACUGAGCAAGAACAAAACUACUACUGUAACCAAAAACUCAACUGAUCGAAUGCCUCAAGGGUAAAUAGUUCAAACCAAACCCAAUCUGAUGCUGCUAUAUUGGUCCGCAGACCUCAAGCGUUACCUGUCACAGAGCAGACAAUGCCAACUUAUUCAUACGUCACCGACGACCUAUCCGGAUACGUACACCCCUUGGUUGGUGGCCAAACCAACCUGGUGUCUAGAAUACACAGUGCUGUGACUAAAUCAUACUAAUAUGCUCAAAACGAAAACCGGUAAAAAGAGACCGGUGCCAUGGCCGAAGCCAGGUGCAAGGGCGUACAACGCCGAACCACGAUCAACCAGAUCGAAACACACGACAAAGGAAUCGAUGUGUUGCCUGGACCCAAGGUCCAUAGAGAUACAAUAUAUAUGCAACCUGCUCUACAUGUCUAUCCACAACUAUCCAAAUGCAAUCAAUGAGAUACGAUAAACAAACGAUAAACAAUCAACUGACAUGUAGAGACUACGAUACUGAUAUGAAAGAACAGAGGAAGGGUGAAACGAUCUCACCGACUACCAGCUCGAAGCACGCACCUGUCACUGUCGCGUCGGAACACUGGAUACGCACAGCGUCUACUGCACCUAAGAAGAUCCACCAGGUCAGUAUCCAAACAACUAACCUAAAGCACGAGACCCACAAACCCCCCAAACAAGAUCCCCGUAAUCGGUUUUCCAAAACCAAUUACCUUAACUCACCGGAAGUCUCGAAAACCACACCGGGACACCGUCGGGACCCACUAAGUGUCCCGAAACUCACCGACUCGUGUCACGAGUCAUCUGCUGCUCCAAAACACUCCAAUUUGGAUGUUUUGGCAGCAAACACAAGAUAACACCACUACACAAUUAUCACCGGAUAAUUGUACAAAUCCGGGUUCCCGAAAGUGUCUAUUUCGACACCGGAACCCACCGUCGCUCAUCCUUCAUCACUGUAAUAACUGAAGUUUUUGGAUAAAUAAAAUUAAACCCUUGGUUGACGAUGUUUUUGUGUGUAAUAUAAUUACUAAAGCACUCGUCAAAUUUCAGGAGAAAAUGAGCUAAAAUGGAGCGGUUACGCGACCCGAACCGAUGACUUAAGUGAAUAGUAACUCCAGUGUUCCGGAUGAGCCAAUGAAUAGAGAAGGGUUCUGGUGCUCAUCGAACUCCGAAUAUAGGACUUCAAUAGCUCGUUUCGAAUGGCUCGACCAUUCUGGACCCAAUGGCACUGACGGAAUUGGGUUCUGAUGCACGGUUGUCGAGAAAAAGGGGUUUAAUGGAAAUUAC
rnacentral:lncRNA from 1 species